GGGGCUGACUGGCUUUGACAGCGUGCAGAAGCGGUAGGUAAGCAUGCAGAGGCUUGAUGACCAGUCUCUAUAAUCACAAGAUCAUCGAACUAUAAUUGGCGAAAAUAACAAUUACGCUCUCGCUGCUUAAUCUGAAGUACAGUAGGAUUGCUUAAUUCCCUGCACAGUGCAGGGAACGAGACAUCUCCCCAUUGCCCCGUUCCGAGACGUUUGGACAAGGAGGUGCUAAGAAAUUCGGAAAUAGGAUGAGUCGAGCCUCGAGCCUCAUCCGAGAUUAAGAGGAUAAGGACAUGAUUGGUAGUCGCGAGCCUGUCAUGCCACGAAAACCAAGUCGAUGACUAAGCAUGUAGAAAGCUUAUUGAUUCCACGUUUGGACGAGGGUUCAAACCCCUCCAGCUCCACUA
rnacentral:tmRNA from 1 species